CUAAGCGUACACGGUGGAUGCCCUGGCAGUCAGAGGCGAUGAAGGGCGUGCUAAUCUGCGAUAAGCGCCGGUAAGGUGAUAUGAACCGUUAUAACCGGCGAUACCCGAAUGGGGAAACCCAGUGUGAUUCGUCACACUAUCAUUAACUGAAUCCAUAGGUUAAUGAGGCGAACCGGGGGAACUGAAACAUCUAAGUACCCCGAGGAAAAGAAAUCAACCGAGAUUCCCCCAGUAGCGGCGAGCGAACGGGGAGGAGCCCAGAGCCUGAAUCAGCAUGUGUGUUAGUGGAAGCGUCUGGAAAGGCGCGCGAUACAGGGUGACAGCCCCGUACACAAAAGCGCAUGUGCUGUGAGCUCGAUGAGUAGGGCGGGACACGUGGUAUCCUGUCUGAAUAUGGGGGGACCAUCCUCCAAGGCUAAAUACUCCUGACUGACCGAUAGUGAACCAGUACCGUGAGGGAAAGGCGAAAAGAACCCCGGCGAGGGGAGUGAAAAAGAACCUGAAACCGUGUACGUACAAGCAGUGGGAGC
rnacentral:rRNA from 1 species